UGUAGGAACACUAUCACUUGGCUAAGGACCAAGUCCAAGCUUAUUGGGUCCGUUGUUCCAUUUGAUGACAACAUCAAUUCUGUCUCUUAUACACAUCUAGAUGUGUAUAAGAGACAGGCUUGGACUUGGUCCUUAGCCAAGUGAUAGUGUUCCUACA
rnacentral:pre_miRNA from 1 species